AGCCGCGCAAUGAGCACAAGUCGUUCUAUUCUUUCACCAUUUACUAAAGAAUACCGUGUGCUCGUCACUUAAUGCAGCAUACACCUAUUUUUGGAGGGCUUUUCUCUUUUUUGAGAAGGU
rnacentral:snRNA from 1 species